GAGUUUGAUCGUGGCUCAGAGUGAACGCUGGCGGUAGGCCUAACACGUGCAAGUCGAACGGCAGCACAGUAAGAGCUUGCUCUUACGGGUGGCGAGUGGCGGACGGGUGAGGAAUACAUCGGAAUCUACUUUUUCGUGGGGGGAUAACGUAGGGAAACUUACGCUAAUACCGCAUACGACCUACGGGUGAAAGCAGGGGAUCUUCGGACCUUGCGCGAUUGAAUGAGCCGAUGUCGGAUUAGCUAGUUGGCGGGGUAAAGGCCCACCAAGGCGACGAUCCGUAGCUGGUCUGAGAGGAUGAUCAGCCACACUGGAACUGAGACACGGUCCAGACUCCUACGGGAGGCAGCAGUGGGGAAUAUUGGACAAUGGGCGCAAGCCUGAUCCAGCCAUACCGCGU
rnacentral:rRNA from 1 species